rnacentral:rRNA from 1 species
AUGGCGGGCGCCUCAGGCUCAGUCGAAGAGGAGGGAGGACUGAGGGCGGAGGAGUCCCCGUCCGGCGGCGUCGACGUCUGGAGCGACGCCGUCUCCUCCCACGCCCCGGAACACCUCCUCGUCAUGGUCCACGGCAUCCUCGGCAGUACCAAUGACUGGCAAUACGCAGCCAACGAAUUUGUGAAGCAGCUUCCUGAUGAUGUAAUUGUGCAUUGCAGUGAGAAAAACAUGAACACAUUGACUCUAGACGGUGUCGAUGUUAUGGGAGAACGCUUAGCAGAUGAGGUUCUUGAUGUAAUUAGUCGAAAGCCAGAGCUCACCAAAAUUUCUUUUCUUGCACACUCCGUUGGAGGCUUAGUAGCAAGAUAUGCAAUUGCAAAACUUUAUAGACAUCCAAAUAGCACGUUUGACAGCAAAGCUGAAGGAACCAUAUGCGGGUUGGAAGCGGUGAACUUUAUAACCGUAGCAACGCCUCACCUUGGUUCUCGAGGAAACAAGCAGGUUCCACUCCUCUUUGGAUUCAUUACGAUUGAGAAGGUUGCUUCUCGUGUCAUCCAUUGGAUAUUUAGGAGAACUGGGAGACAUCUUUUUCUUACUGAUAGUGCUGAGGGAGAACCGCCACUGUUGCAGCGUAUGGUUGAAGAUUAUGGCAAUCUUUACUUUAUAUCUGCUUUGCGAGCAUUUAAACGACGAGUGGCAUAUGCUAAUGCUGGUUGCGACCACAUUGUUGGCUGGAGAACAUCAUCUAUUAGAAGAAACACCGAGCUGCCUAAGUGGGAGGAAUCUGUAUGUGAGAAGUAUCCUCACAUUGUACAUGAGGAAUACUCUGAAGAAAUCAGCGAUGAGAAGUGUCAAGAUUUGGCAGCAGAUUGCGAUUUUGACUUACUGGAAGAAAAAAUGGUGACAGGGCUGAGACGCGUUUCAUGGGAAAAGGUAGAUGUUAGCUUCCACACGAGCAUGCGGAGUUUCGCAGCGCACAGCAUUAUCCAGGUCAAGUAUGCGUUUAUGAACGAAGGAGCGGACGUCAUACAGCACAUUAUAGACCACUUCCAGCUCUGA